rnacentral:rRNA from 1 species
GACGAACGCUGGCGGCGUGCCUAAUACAUGCAAGUAGAACGCUGAAGAGAGGAGCUUGCUCUUCUUGGAUGAGUUGCGAACGGGUGAGUAACGCGUAGGUAACCUGCCUUGUAGCGGGGGAUAACUAUUGGAAACGAUAGCUAAUACCACAUAACAAUGGAUGACACAUGUCAUUUAUUUGAAAGGGGCAAUUGUUCCACUACAAGAUGGACCUGCGUUGUAUUAGCUAGUAGGUGAGGUAAUGGCUCACCUAGGCGACGAUACAUAGCCGACCUGAGAGGGUGAUCGGCCACACUGGGACUGAGACACGGCCCAGACUCCUACGGGAGGCAGCAGUAGGGAAUCUUCGGCAAUGGGGGCAACCCUGACCGAGCAACGCCGCGUGAGUGAAGAAGGUUUUCGGAUCGUAAAGCUCUGUUGUAAGUCAAGAACGGGUGUGAGAGUGGAAAGUUCACACUGUGACGGUAGCUUACCAGAAAGGGACGGCUAACUACGUG